CUGGUUGAUCUUGCCAGUUUUCAUAUGCUUGUCCUACAGAUUAAGCCAUGCAAGUGAAAGUACAUACGUUAAAUACGCAGAAACUGCGAAUGGCUCCUUAAAACAGUUAUAAAUCUACUUGACAUUUUUUAGGAAGGAUAACUACGGGAAACUGUAGCUAAUACUUGAAAUUAUUAUCGUUGAAACUUUGUUUCUUUUGGUAUUAGGUAUUUGUUAAUCCAUAAUAAGAAAAUUAAUAAAUUGAUGAAUUAAAACAAAGAAGUAACACACAUGAAUAUUUUAUAUUUUUAAAGGUGUGUAUCAAUCGAGUUUCUGACCUAUCAGCUUGACGCUAGGGUAUUGACCUAGCACGUUUUGGCUAUAAGGGGUAACCGGGAAUGUGAGUUCGAUUCCGGAGAGGUAUCCUGAGAAAUAGCUACUACAUCUAAGGAAGGCAGCAGGCGCGAAAAUUACCCAAUUCUAAAGAAGAGAGGUAGUGACAGGACAUGACAAUAUAAGGGUAUUACCAUCCUUAUGUUGUAUAACUGAUGGGAAUUCAAAACCAUCCCAGAAAUCAAUUGGAGGAACAAGUCUAGUUGUUAGCAGCCGCGGUAAAAUUAGCUUCAAUAGUGUAUUUUAAUUUUGCUGCAGUUAAAUAGCUCGUAAGUUGAAUUUCUAAGAUUUUUUUUCGAGGAACACUCUUUUUUAUAAAGCAUAUGUUUAUGGCAUGUGCUUAUAUUUAAAGGGUUAUUUCUUACAUAAAAAAAUUUAUAUUGUAUGAAUAACUUGACGCAUUAUCCAUAAUAUAUAUGAUUAUGGCUAUUAUGUUUAAAGUAAUUCAUUCCGUUAUCAUGAUUAAAUUAUAGUGUUCAUGGCAAGUAAAUAAUGAGUUAACGACUCAGCUUCUGUAUAAUUAGGCAUGGAAUAAUGAGAUUAUUACAAUAAGUCAAAAGUUUCUUUGCGUUUGUCUUAUACUUUGUUAAGAAUAAGAUAUCACAAUAAGUCGAAAGUUUCUUGUAGUUUUUCUUAUAUUUUGACUUAGUAUUAAUAGGAGUAUCGGGGGGCAUUAGUAUUCAGAAGGAAGAGGUGAAAUUCUAAGAUUUUCUGAGGACUAACGACUGCGAAUGCAUUUGCCAAUGAUAUUUUCAUUAAUCAAGAACGAAGGUUGAGGGAGUGAAGGCGGUCUGAACGCGUCGUAAUCUUAACCGUAAACUAUGCCUACUAAGCUUUAGAUAGAUA
rnacentral:ncRNA from 1 species